AAUCGAACCCGGAGAUAGCUGGUUCUCCCCGAAAUAGCUUUAGGGCUAGCGUCGGAAUGAACCCAUGUGAAGGUAGAGCACUGAAUGUGUGAUGGCCCCAUCCCGGGGUACUGAAUACAAUCAAACUCCGAAUGUCAUGUGGGAUGUCCGGCAGUCAGACUGUGAGUGAUAAGGUCCAUGGUCGAGAGGGAAACAGCCCAGACCGCCAGUUAAGGUCCCAAAAUGCAGGCUAAGUGGAAAAGGAUGUGGGGAUGCCCAGACAACUAGGAGGUUGGCUCAGAAGCAGCCACCCUUUAAAGAGUGCGUAACAGCUCACUAGUCGAGUGACCCUGCGCCGAAAAUGUACCGGGGCUAAGCCUGAUACCGAAACUGCGGAAUCGAAUGAUUGGUAGGGGAGCGUUGUAUACGGGUGGAAGCCGUACCGUGAGGAGCGGUGGACUGUAUAGAAGUGAGAAUGCCGGUGUGAGUAGCGAGAUGUAGGUGAGAAUCCUACACACCGAAAGCCCAAGGAUUCCAGGGGAAGGUUCGUCCGCCCUGGGUAAGUCGGGACCUAAGGCGAGGCCGAAAGGCGUAGUGGAUGGAAAGCAGGCGGAGAUUCCUGCACCCGUAUGUGGAGCGAUGGAGUGACGGAGACGGCUAAUGUGACCCUCUUAACGGAUUGAGGGCGAAGCGGGGUAGCGGUCGACCAGGCAAAUCCGGUCGGCAUAACGCGAAGACGUGACAGGGAAGCGAACGCUUUGGCAAGUAGCGAAGCACAUGAGGCCGGCUUCCAAGAAAAGCUUCUGGCAAUGCACAUGCGGCCCGUACCAAAACCGACACAGGUGGGCAGGUAGAGGAUACCAAGGUGAGCGAGAGAACUGUUGCCAAGGAACUCGGCAAAAUGGCUCCGUACGUUCGCAAGAAGGAGCGCUUAUGAAAAUAAGCCGCAGUGAAUAGGCCCAAGCGACUGUUUAACUAAAACACAGCUCUCUGCGAAGUCGCAAGACGAAGUAUAGGGGGUGACACCUGCCCGGUGCCGGAAGGUUAAGAGGAUCUGUCAAUCGCAAGAUGAAGCAGUGAGUUGAAGCCCCGGUGAACGGCGGCCGUAACUAUAACGGUCCUAAGGUAGCGAAAUUCCUUGUCAGGUAAGUUCUGACCCGCACGAAAGGUGUAACGAUUUGGGCGCUGUCUCGGCAGCAGGCUCGGUGAAAUCUUAGUACCUGUGAAAAUGCAGGUUACCCGCAACUAGACGGAAAGACCCCAUGGAGCUUUACUGUAGCCUGGUAUUGGAUUUUGGUCAGACAUGUACAGGAUAGGUGGGAGACUGUGAGACGUGCACGCCAGUGUACGAGGAGUCGCCGUUGGGAUACCACUCUUGUGUGAUCGGAGUUCUAACCUGGUGGCCUGAACCGGCCAUAGGGAGAGUGCCAGGUGGGCAGUUUGACUGGGGCGGUCGCCUCCCAAAGAGUAACGGAGGCGCCCAAAGGUACGCUCAGAUUGGAUGGAAACCAAUCGCCGAGUGCAAAUGCAGAAGCGUGCUUGACUGUGAGAGCAACAACUCGAACAGGGACGAAAGUCGGGAUUAGUGAUCCGGCGGUGCCGAAUGGAAGGGCCGUCGCUCAACGGAUAAAAGCUACCCUGGGGAUAACAGGCUGAUCUCCCCCAAGAGUUCACAUCGACGGGGAGGUUUGGCACCUCGAUGUCGGCUCAUCGCAUCCUGGAGCUGAAGUCGGUUCCAAGGGUUGGGCUGUUCGCCCAUUAAAGCGGUACGCGAGCUGGGUUCAGAACGUCGUGAGACAGUUCGGUCCCUAUCUGUUGUGGGCGAAGGAGAUUUGAGGAGAGCUGCCCUUAGUACGAGAGGACCGGGGUGGACCUACCGCUGGUGCACCAGUUGUAUCGCCAGAUGCAUAGCUGGGUAGCUAAGUAGGGAAGGGAUAAGCGCUGAAAGCAUCUAAGCACGAAGCCUACUCCAAGAUGAGAUCUCCCAUUCGCAAGAAGUAAGACCCCUUGA
rnacentral:rRNA from 1 species